rnacentral:rRNA from 1 species
CCUACGGGAGGCAGCAGUGAGGAAUAUUGGUCAAUGGGCGCGAGCCUGAACCAGCCAAGUCGCGUGAGGGAAGACGGUCCUAUGGAUUGUAAACCUCUUUUGUCGGGGAGCAAAAGACGCCACGCGUGGCGUUCCGAGAGUACCCGAAGAAAAAGCAUCGGCUAACUCCGUGCCAGCAGCCGCGGUAAUACGGAGGAUGCGAGCGUUAUCCGGAUUUAUUGGGGUUAAAGGGUGCGCAGGCGGAAGAGCAAGUCAGCGGUAAAAUGGUGGGGCUAAACCUCUUAGAGCCGUUGAAACUGGUUUUCUGGAGUGAGUGAGAAGUAUGCGGAAUGCGUGGUGUAGCGGUGAAAUGCAUAGAUAUCACGCAGAACGCCGAUUGCGAAGGCAGCAUACCGGCGCUCAACUGACGCUCAUGCACGAAAGUGUGGGUAUCGAACAGGAUUAGAUACCCGUGUAGUC